rnacentral:rRNA from 1 species
UCAGACGUAAUCUGCCGCAAAAAUGUUGCUGUCUCCGCAAAAUUGGAUAACUUGGCGAAACGCCAAGCUAAUACAUGAAUUAAGGGACGCGUUCAGUUCAGGCGCAGGGGCAACUUUGUCGCCUUGGCGCGUCCGGCGAAUGAAUGAAAGUAAAACCAACGCCUUCACCGGCAGUAACACUUAGAAGUGCUGACUCAAUUCAUUCCGUGCGAAAGCUGGGUUUUUUACCUGGCGUCUUUUGACGAACAACUGCCCUAUCAGCCAGCGAUGGCCGUGUAGUGGACUGCCAUGGCGUUGACGGGAGCGGGGGAUUAGGGUUCGAUUCCGGAGAGGGAGCCUGAGAAAUAGCUACCACUUCUACGGAGGGCAGCAGGCGCGCAAAUUGCCCAAUGUCAAAAAAAAACGAUGAGGCAGCGAAAAGAAAUAGAGCCGAGAGCGCCUUUGGCGUUGUCGUUUUCAAUGGGGGAUAUUUAAACCCAUCCAAAAUCGAGUAACAAUUGGAGGACAAGUCUGGUGCCAGCACCCGCGGUAAUUCCAGCUCCAAAAGCGUAUAUUAAUGCUGUUGCUGUUAAAGGGUUCGUAGUUGAACUGUGGGCCUUUGAGGCGCAUUGGUUUUGUCCCGUCCACUUCGGAUCGGUGACCCAUGCCCUUGAGGUCCGUGAACACACAGAACCAAGAAACACGGGAGUGGUACCUUCCUGAUUCUCGCAUGUCAUGCAUGCCAGGGGGCGCCCGUGAUUUUUACUGUGACUAAAAAAGUGUGACCAAAGCAGUCAGUCGACUUGAAUUAGAAAGCAUGGGAUAA